AAAUGCCUAUAUGAAAUGAGUAUAUCACCAACCUUCCUACAAUCGUUUGGUCAAUGAUACACAUGAGUUUAAAUUGUGGAAAGUUAGUAAUGCUCCACAUGAGCUUGAAUUAUGAUUGUGGUAAUAGACCAACCGUUGGCCCGAAGUGCAAAACUAAGUGUUGUCCAAGAAUAAGUGUUGGAAAGUCAAUAGGAGCCACCUCUAGGGUCCACAUUGGUGAUUGGUUAGUGGGCUAAAGUUCUAGGGGAUGCAAGAGAUAUGAAUAUAAGUGGAACCAAGUCCCGAUUUUUGAGAUGAUGUGUAAUCAAAGGUUUGUGUAGAUUCCUAACUUGUAUUUGUCCUUCUAUCGUAAGUUAAAAAUAAUAGCUCAUUGAUUAUAAUUGUGG
rnacentral:misc_RNA from 1 species